rnacentral:rRNA from 1 species
GUCGAACGGCAGCACAGCAGUAGCAAUACUGUGGGUGGCGAGUGGCGGACGGGUGAGUAAUGCAUCGGGAUCUACCUAAACGUGGGGGAUAACGUAGGGAAACUUACGCUAAUACCGCAUACGUCCUACGGGAGAAAGCGGGGGAUCGAAAGACCUCGCGCGGUUAGACGAACCGAUGUUCGAUUAGCUAGUUGGUAGGGUAAUGGCCUACCAAGGCGACGAUCGAUAGCUGGUCUGAGAGGAUGAUCAGCCACACUGGAACUGAGACACGGUCCAGACUCCUACGGGAGGCAGCAGUGGGGAAUAUUGGACAAUGGGCGCAAGCCUGAUCCAGCAAUGCCGCGUGUGUGAAGAAGGCCUUCGGGUUGUAAAGCACUUUUAUCAGGAGCGAAACGCUGUCGAUUAAUACUCGGCGGAACUGACGGUACCUGAGGAAUAAGCACCGGCUAACUUCGUGCCAGCAGCCGCGGUAAUACGAAGGGUGCAAGCGUUAAUCGGAAUUACUGGGCGUAAAGCGUGCGUAGGCGGUGAGUUAAGUCUGUCGUGAAAUCCCCGGGCUCAACCUGGGAAUGGCGAUGGAUACUGGCUCGCUAGAGUGUGAUAGAGGAUGGUGGAAUUCCCGGUGUAGCGGUGAAAUGCGUAGAGAUCGGGAGGAACAUCAGUGGCGAA